ACCGAAUGGCCUAAUUUAUGCUCCUAUCUCUUAUGGUCUUAUGCACACUCAUUUAUCAGAAAGUUUAUGAGACAGCUUCCUUGGUUGGAACUUUCGCUAUUACGUUGCGGCCAGUCUGGCGUCUCCUUCACAUCAGCAUGAGAAAACCUGUUCAGUAGAGUGACUGGCAGGGACGGUAUUCCCACUGUAGCGUGUGCUCAUGACUCGUGUACAAAUACAGAACCUCACAGGCUGGUUCGGUGGUAAAACUCUUGCCUCUGACUCAGAGGGUCAUGGAUUCAAGUCCCAAACGAAACCAAGGCUGAUUCUGUAGUGCAAUGUUGAGGGAGUGCUGCAGUGUCAGAGGUACUGCCUUAUUGAAGAGAUAUAUUAAGGAGCUGUCUAAAUCUUUAGGUAGAAAAAAUAAGAUCUCAUAGCAGUAUUUCAAAGAAGACUCUCACCAACAUUUUAUUCCUCAACAAGCACCUGUUCUAGUCUAAAAGCAAAAUACCAUGUAUGCUGGAAAUAUGAAAUUAAAAACAGAAAAUGCUGGGUAUACUCAACAGGUCUGGCAGCAUCUGUGGAGAGAGAAGCAGAGCUAUGGGACCAUAUGGAGAAAGACAGGCUGUGGAGUGGUGUUCACACAGAAUGUUGGUCAGAAAAUCAAGGGCACGCAGCCCCUAAUUUUUCUUUAGUUAGUUUAAUUGAUGUGAAAUCAGCGGCUAUGGGCCUGUGGUCUCCUGACCAGCACUUCCUGCAAUCGGCAUUCCCUUCCAGGAAUAUUUGAUCAAGAAAUCAGCCUUCACUUCCUUUGUUCACUUUGUGUAUUUUUUCAUCAAUGAGCUCCACUUUGUGGCCAAAGUAAGUAAUAACAAUAAAAAUCUUGCAUUCUUAUAAAA